rnacentral:rRNA from 1 species
ACGAAGGCCUUCGGGUUGUAAACCUCUUUUAGCAGGGAAGAAGCGCAAGUGACGGUACCUGCAGAAAAAGCACCGGCUAACUACGUGCCAGCAGCCGCGGUAAUACGUAGGGUGCAAGCGUUGUCCGGAAUUAUUGGGCGUAAAGAGCUCGUAGGCGGUUUGUCGCGUCUGCUGUGAAAAUCCGAGGCUCAACCUCGGACCUGCAGUGGGUACGGGCAAACUAGAGUGCGGUAGGGGAGAUUGGAAUUCCUGGUGUAGCGGUGGAAUGCGCAGAUAUCUNGAGGAACACCAAUGGCGAAGGCAGAUCUCUGGGCCGUAACUGACGCUGAGGAGCGAAAGCGUGGGGAGCGAACAGGAUUAGAUACCCUGGUAGUCCACGCCGUAAACGGUGGGAACUAGAUGUGGGGUCCGUUCCACGGAUUCCGUGUCGCAGCUAACGCAUUAAGUUCCCCGCCUGGGGAGUACGGCCGCAAGGCUAAAACUCAAAGGAAUUGACGGGGGCCCGCACAAGCGGCGGAGCAUGCGGAUUAAUUCGAUGCAACGCGAAGAACCUUACCAAGGCUUGACAUAUAGAGGAAAGGUGCAGAAAUGUACCCCCGGCAAGGUCUCUAUACAGGUGGUGCAUGGUUGUCGUCAGCUCGUGUCGUGAGAUGUUGGGUUAAGUCCCG